AGGCGGGGGGGAUUUUCAACAAUUCACCAGCUCAGCUCAAGCCACCAGCGUGAGACAGCACUCUCCAGAGACGAUCAGCAUCGAUCGUGUGAGCUCUGAAGGCGCCGUGGGCUUGGCUCAUCUUUGGGGGGGGCUCAGAUGUCUCCUCCUUGAUUGGGGAAAAUACAAGUCGUAACUUCCAGGCUCACCCACUCGUGGCACUAAUAAUAGCAGCCACUCCGUGCAGGUGUAUAGUUCUUCAUAGUCUGAUGCCCCCUCUGCUUCCUUAUGUACUUGGGAAGUGAAGUUAGCAGUGGGGCCAUCUGAAGGAUCACCAUUGACAUUAAAGGAUCAUCACUGAGUGAUAUGAUAUGAAUGGAAAAAUUAUCCUCACAGCUGUUGGUUCAGGCUCUCUGCAAACUCAGGGAAACUCUGUGUGCCCGGAGGCAGUCACACCCUUCCUGGAGAUGAGGCUGUAGCCAGGAGCCCGUUAGGAUCCUGCUUUCAGACCCUUCUGUCAUCCACAGAGGACUGCUGGCCCCAAAGCUGACAGAGAAAUAACCUGCUAGACUGAAGCCGCAGCUUCCUGCCAUCAGCCACCCUCUGCUUGAGGAAGCGGCGCAAGCCGUAUUCAAAGAGCUC